rnacentral:rRNA from 1 species
GUAGGUGGCAAGCGUUGUCCGGAAUUAUUGGGCGUAAAGCGUGCGCAGGUGGUUCUUUAAGUCUGAUGUGAAAGCCCCCGGCUCAACCGGGGAGGGUCAUUGGAAACUGGGGAACUUGAGUGCAGGAGAGGAAAGUGGGAUUCCACGUGUAGCGGUGAAAUGCGUAGAUAUGUGGAGGAACACCAGUGGCGAAGGCGACUUUCUGGCCUGUAACUGACACUGAGGCGCGAAAGCGUGGGGAGCAAACAGGGAUUAGAUACCCUGGUAGUCCACGCCGUAAACGAUGAGUGCUAAGUGUUGGGGGGGUUUCCCGCCCCGUCAGUGCUGCAGCUAACGCAUUAAGCACUCCGCCUGGGGAGUACGGUCGCAAGACUG